rnacentral:rRNA from 1 species
GACAGAGGGUGCAAACGUUGCUCGGAAUUACUGGGCGUAAAGGGCGCGUAGGUGGCCUUCUAAGUCGAACGUGAAAUCCCUGGGCUCAACCCAGGAACUGCGUCCGAGACUGGGAGGCUUGAAUCCGGGAGAGGGAUGCGGAAUUCCAGGUGUAGCGGUGAAAUGCGUAGAUAUCUGGAGGAACACCGGUGGCGAAGGCGGGUCUCUGGGCAGUAACUGACGCUGAGGAGCGAAAGCGUGGGGAGCGAACAGG